rnacentral:rRNA from 1 species
AUUGAACGCUGGCGGAAUGCUUUACACAUGCAAGUCGAACGGCAGCACGGACUUCGGUCUGGUGGCGAGUGGCGAACGGGUGAGUAACAUAUCGGAACGUAUCCAAUAAUGGGGGAUAACGAGUCGAAAGAUUCGCUAAUACCGCAUACGCCCUACGGGGGAAAGCUGGGGACCUUCGGGCCUGGCGUUAAUGGAUCGGCCGAUAUCUGAUUAGCUAGUUGGUGAGGUAAAGGCUCACCAAGGCGACGAUCAGUAGCUGGUCUGAGAGAACGACCAGCCACACUGGAACUGAGACACGGUCCAGACUCCUACGGGAGGCAGCAGUGGGGAAUUUUGGACAAUGGGCGCAAGCCUGAUCCAGCCAUUCCGCGUGAGUGAAGAAGGCCUUCGGGUUGUAAAGCUCUUUCGCAAGGGAAGAAAACUUAGCCACUAACAUUGGUUGAGGUUGACGGUACCUUGAUAAGAAGCACCGGCUAACUACGUGCCAGCAGCCGCCGUAA